rnacentral:rRNA from 1 species
AUUGAACGCUGGCGGCAUGCCUAACACAUGCAAGUCGAACGAGUGGCGGACGGGUGAGUAAUGUAUGGGAAACUGCCCGAUGGAGGGGGAUAACUACUGGAAACUGUAGCUAAUACCGCAUCCCAUCAGAUGUGCCCAGAUGGGAUGAGCUUGUUGGUGGGGUAACGGCUCACCAAGGCGACGAUCCGUAGCUGGUCUGAGAGGAUGACCAGCCACACUGGGACUGAGACACGGUCCAGACUCCUACGGGAGGCAGCAGUGGGGAAUAUUGGACAAUGGGCGAAACCCUGAUCCAGCCAUGCCGCGUGUGUGAUGAAGGUCUUCGGGUUGUAAAGCACUUUUAGCAGGGAAGCGUUACCAACAGAAUAAGCACCGGCUAACUACGUGCCAGCAGCCGCGGUAAUUC